GACGAACGCUGGCGGCGUGCUUAACACAUGCAAGUCGAACGGAAAGGCCCAGCUUGCUGGGUGCUCGAGUGGCGAACGGGUGAGUAACACGUGGGUGAUCUGCCCCUAACUUCGGGAUAAGCUUGGGAAACUGGGUCUAAUACCGGAUAGGACAAUCGUUUAGUGUCGGUUGUGGAAAGUUUUUUCGGUUAGGGAUGAGCCCGCGGCCUAUCAGCUUGUUGGCGGGGUAAUGGCCUACCAAGGCGUCGACGGGUAGCCGGCCUGAGAGGGUGGACGGCCACAUUGGGACUGAGAUACGGCCCAGACUCCUACGGGAGGCAGCAGUGGGGAAUAUUGCACAAUGGGCGCAAGCCUGAUGCAGCGACGCCGCGUGGGGGAUGACGGCCUUCGGGUUGUAAACCUCUUUCGACAGGGACGAAGCUUUGGUGACGGUACCUGUAUAAGAAGCACCGGCUAACUACGUG
rnacentral:rRNA from 1 species